UACUUUGUGGUAUUGGUAACUGUUAAGGCGUGUUUCCCUUAACCAGAGGAUCGUUCCGUGAGUGAGGAAACUGACCAAUAGGAGCACUGGGUUAGAGUGAGAGAGAAAUCUCCUUUUUUAUUUGCGAUCUCAGGGACGAGCUUUAUUCACAGACGAUGCCGAGCACGUGAACCAUGGUGCUGGGCGAGUGCCCGAUGGUGCUAAGCGCGGGCAGGAUAAUGCUGAAUUCUGGCCGGAUGAAGACGAUCUGAUCUGCUUCGAGCGUUGGGAUGAGGGCGAGAGCGAGGCGAUCGAGCGAUCAACCGUGAGGCCCAAUCAGACGGUGCACGUCAGGAAAAAGCGCUUCCUGCUGGGUCAUUACCGGUGGCAUGAGCUGAAGCUAAGGUUGCUGACCGAGAGGUGUCAGCACUGAGCUGGUGCGAGACGCCACAGGCUUAUCGUCCAGUUAAGAUCAGGAGGAAACAAGAAGUACUGCGCAGUAUUUUCGCGCACGCAGUUUUUUAGCGCCAGUUUUGUGUACAGCAAUAUGGCGAAUCUUUCAAAUUUUUUAAUCUGUCAUCUCUAUACUUUUUGCAGCGGAUUUUGUUAUCUCAUUAAAGAAGAACAGUUUUUCAGCGUAUAGGAGGACCGAAAAAUUUUCAGUCCAGCAUGUAAAACAUCUUUAAAUAGAUAUGUAAUGGUUAUGCAAAUGUAUAUACUUUUAAACAAUCUUAAAUAAAAGAUGAGUACAUUAGAGUAUUAAAAUAA